CUGAUUCAGACUGAUAUAUGGUAGCUGAAUUUGAUUUAAACCCACUGAAAUUAGCAUGGUCUAUUGCACUGAAAAACAGUUUUCCGAAAGUUCCAAAAGAAGUUAACCAAAAAAGUUUUCCAAAUGUU